CUCCCUCACCCGCAGGUUGUGCAUCCAGCGCUGCGGUGGGCAGUACAGGCGCCGCGGUGCACGGAGCCUCACCUGUUGGGGAUGGUGUGACUGUAAGAUAUGGGCGAGUCCAUGCAGACGGGCAGCGGCGGCUGUGCGACACGCGGGCGGAAAGAAGACGCAUCAGCCACCCCGUUCGCUCCCCAUGUUUAGACUGCAUCAGGUUUUUUCUGGAGUCCCACGACCAGCACUAAACCUCAGCUCCACGGAUCUGGGUGCUACCUGACUGGGCUCCGGCCAGGA